AGUGAGCUUAGGACACAGGAAGAGACAGUGUUACAAUCAGAGUCCAAGGCAAAAAACAAAAAAUCAAAAGCCCUGAAGCAGAUAUCUCCUCUUGAAGGGGUCUGGUCGGAAGAAUUGGCUGUUUUGGUAACUCUCAGCCUCUUUGUUCUACCAAGCUUUCAACUGGCAGAAUGAGGUCCUCCCUCAUGCGGAGGGUAAACUGCUCACUCAGCCUGACUUGGUGUCACUCUUAUCUGAAAACACCCAGAAAAGGUUAGCUCAGGGCCCGAUCAAGCCAACAGAAGGCAAGAAAGUUAUCAAAGAUCAGAGGCUGUUUUGUCAAAAGAGCACAGAAGCAGCACAGGAGGACCCACUGGCCAAGGACAGAAUGAUUGGAGGAUCAAAGAAAUACCAGGCCCCUGAUAAGAUGGCUGGGGGAGGGGGGAGGGGGAGGAGGAAUUACUUUCUUAACUUGUCCUCAAGACAGUAAAUAACAGAGGCUAGGGCUGUAGCUUAGUGGUAGAGUGCUUGCCUUUGCGUGCAUGACAUCCUAGGUUCAAUCCCCAGUACU
ensembl:antisense Gm27231 predicted gene 27231